rnacentral:rRNA from 1 species
AAUUCUAGAGCUAAUACAUGCUAAAAAUCCCGACUUCGGAAGGGAUGUAUUUAUUAGAUUAAAAACCAAUGCCCUUCGGGGCUCACUGGUGAUUCAUGAUAACUUCUCGAAUCGCAUGGCCUUGCGCCGGCGAUGGUUCAUUCAAAUUUCUGCCCUAUCAACUUUCGACGGCUGGGUCUUGGCCAGCCAUGGUGACAACGGGUAACGGAGGGUUAGGGCUCGACCCCGGAGAAGGAGCCUGAGAGACGGCUACUACAUCCAAGGAAGGCAGCAGGCGCGCAAAUUACCCAAUCCCGACACGGGGAGGUAGUGACGAUAAAUACUGAUACAGGGCUCUUUUGGGUCUUGUAAUUGGAAUGAGUACAAUUUAAAUCCCUUAACGAGGAACAAUUGGAGGGCAAGUCUGGUGCCAGCAGCCGCGGUAAUUCCAGCUCCAAUAGCGUAUAUUAAAGUUGUUGCAGUUAAAAAGCUCGUAGUUGAACCUUGGGCCUGGCUGGCCGGUCCGCCUCACCGCGUGCACUGGUCCGGCCGGGCCUUUCCCUCUGGGGAGCCGCAUGCCCUUCACUGGGCGUGUCGGGGAACCAGGACUUUUACUUUGAAAAAAUUAGAGUGUUCAAAGCAGGCCUAUGCUCGAAUACAUUAGCAUGGAAUAAUAAAAUAGGACGUGCGGUUCUAUUUUGUUGGUUUCUAGGACCGCCGUAAUGAUUAAUAGGGACAGUCGGGGGCAUCAGUAUUCAAUUGUCAGAGGUGAAAUUCUUGGAUUUAUUGAAGACUAACUACUGCGAAAGCAUUUGCCAAGGAUGUUUUCAUUAAUCAGGAACGAAAGUUAGGGG